AAAAAUAUAAUUAUAGAAGGUGCCUGUGAUUUCUCCGCAGGAUAAUAGGGAAAAGGGUGAAAAUCCCUUACGGUCCCGCCGCUGUAUUGGAAGAGUUAUAUCUUAAAAAUAUGUCACUGGAUUUUCUGGGAAGACAAGAUAUGAUUAUGAAACCUAAGUCAGAAUACCUGCCUUUUAUAAGCGUAUGUAU
rnacentral:ncRNA from 24 species